rnacentral:rRNA from 1 species
UACAGAGGUCUCAAGCGUUUGUUCGGAUUCAUUGGGCGUAAAGGGUGCGUAGGCGGCGCGGUAAGUCGGGUGUGAAAUCUCGGAGCUUAACUCCGAAACUGCAUUCGAUACUGCCGUGCUUGAGGACUGGAGAGGAGACUGGAAUUUACGGUGUAGCGGUGAAAUGCGUAGAUAUCGUAAGGAAGACCAGUGGCGAAGGCGGGUCCCUGGACAACUCCUGACACUGAUGCACGGAAAGCUAGGGGAGCAAACAGG